GAAAAAUAUCCAUAUAUUUUGGUGAGAGGAGAGAAAUUUGUGAAAAGUUAUUGACGUGUAAAACUUUAAGGAUUGAUUUUAUUAUUCUUGAAGAGAUGUCUGAAGAAUUAGGAAAAUCCUCAUAUGACUGUGAUAUCUGCAAAGACUCAUUCUUAGAAGAAAGUAAAUUCAAUCAACACAAACAAAUUCAUACAAGGGAGAAACCAUAUCACUGUAGUAUCUGUGGUAAAUCAUUCUUAAGUAGCAGUCACUUAACACGACACAUACGUAUUCAUACAGGAGAGAAACCGUAUCCCUGUGAUGUAUGUGGUAAAUCAUUGUCUGAUAGGAAUAGUUUAACUCAACACAAACUUAUUCAUACAGGAGAGAAACCAUAUCACUGUAAUAUCUGUAGUAAAUCAUUGUCUGACAGGAGUAGCUUAGCUCGACAUAAACGUAUUCAUACAGGGGAGAAACCAUAUCACUGUGAUAUCUGUGAUAAAUCAUUCAGUCGAAGAGGUAGCUUAGCUACUCACAAACAGGUUCAUACAGGGGAGAAACGAUAUCCCUGUGAUAUCUGUGGUAAAUCAUUCUGUAAUGACAGUCACUUAACUCAACACCAACGUAUUCACUCAGGAGAAAAACCUUAUCCCUGUGAUAUCUGUGGUGAAUCAUUCUCUGUUGGCAGUAGCUUAACUCGUCAUAAACGUAUUCAUACAGGAGAGAAACCAUUUCCUUGUGAUAUAUGUGGUAAAUCUUUCCCUGAAAACUGUAGUUUAACUCAACACAGACGUAUUCAUACAGGGGAGAAACCAUAUCACUGUACUAUCUGUGGUAAAUCAUUCUCUAAUGACAGUCACUUAACUCGACAUAUACGUAUCCAUACAGGAGAAAAACCUUAUCCCUGCGAUAUCUGUGGUGAAUCGUUCUCUGUUGGCAGUAGCUUAACUCGUCAUAAACGUAUCCAUACAGGAGAGAAACCAUAUCAAUGUGAUUUAUGUGGUAAAUCCUUCACUGAAAAGAGUGGCUUAACUCAACACAAACGUAUUCAUACAGGGGAGAAACCAUAUUCCUGUGAUAUCUGUGGUGAAUCAUUCUAUCACAGAGGUAACUUUACUACUCACUCAAGGGUUCAUACAGGGGAGAAGCCAUAUCACUGUGACAUCUGUGAUAAAUCAUUCUCUGUUAGUAGUUGCCUAACUAGACACAAGCGUAUUCAUGCAGUGGAGAAAACCUCUCCGUGAUAUCAGUGGCAAAUUAUUCUAUCAAAGAAGUAACUUAACUACUCACACAUGGGUUCAUACAGAGGAGAAACCAUAUCAAUGUGAUAUCUGUGGUAAAUC
rnacentral:misc_RNA from 1 species